UACGUAGGGUGCAAGCGUUGUCCGGAAUUAUUGGGCGUAAAGAGCUCGUAGGCGGUUUGUCGCGUCUGCUGUGAAAACGCGGGGCUCAACUCCGCGCCUGCAGUGGGUACGGGCAGACUAGAGUGCAGUAGGGAAGACUGGGAAUUCCUGGUGUAGCGGUGGAAUGCGCAGAUAUCAGGAGGAACACCGGUGGCGAAGGCGGGUCUCUGGAACGGUACUGACGCUGGAGGCGACGAAAGCGUGGGGAGCAAACAGG
rnacentral:rRNA from 1 species